rnacentral:rRNA from 1 species
UACGGAGGGUGCAAGCGUUAUCCGGAUUCACUGGGUUUAAAGGGUGCGUAGGUGGGCAGGUAAGUCAGUGGUGAAAUCUCCGAGCUUAACUCGGAAACUGCCAUUGAUACUAUCUGUCUUGAAUUAUCUGGAGGUGAGCGGAAUAUGUCAUGUAGCGGUGAAAUGCUUAGAUAUGACAUAGAACACCAAUUGCGAAGGCAGCUCACUACGGGUAUAUUGACACUGAGGCACGAAAGCGUGGGGAUCAAACAGG